rnacentral:tRNA from 1 species
UCGGAGGUAUACCCAAGUUCGGCUGAAGGGAUCGGUCUUGAAAACCGACAGGCGGCGAGAGUCGCGCGGGGGUUCGAAUCCCGUCCCGAGCCA